UAGUAUUAAUAAUUCUGCAGG
rnacentral:piRNA from 1 species